rnacentral:rRNA from 1 species
GACGAACGCUGGCGGCGUGCUUAACACAUGCAAGUCGAACGGAAAGGCCUCUUUCGGGGGGUACUCGAGUGGCGAACGGGUGAGUAACACGUGAGUAACCUGCCCUUGACUUUGGGAUAACUUCAGGAAACUGGGGCUAAUACCGGAUAGGAGCUCCUGCUGCAUGGUGGGGGUUGGAAAGUUUCGGCGGUUGGGGAUGGACUCGCGGCUUAUCAGCUUGUUGGUGGGGUAGUGGCUUACCAAGGCUUUGACGGGUAGCCGGCCUGAGAGGGUGACCGGCCACAUUGGGACUGAGAGACGGCCCAGACUGCUAAGGGAGGCAGCAGUGGGGAAUAUUGCACAAUGGGUGGAAGCCUGAUGCAGCAACGCCGUGUGCGGGAUGACGGCCUUCGGGUUGUAAACCGCUUUCGCUCAUGACGAAGCUUUGUGUGACGGUAGUGGGUAAAGAAGCACCGGCUAACUACGUG